rnacentral:rRNA from 1 species
CAUCCAGACUCCUACGGGAGGCAGCAGUGAGGAAUAUUGGUCAAUGGACGCAAGUCUGAACCAGCCAUGCCGCGUGCAGGAUGACGGCUCUAUGAGUUGUAAACUGCUUUUGUACGAGGGUAAACCCCGAUACGUGUAUCGGGUUGAAAGUAUCGUACGAAUAAGGAUCGGCUAACUCCGUGCCAGCAGCCGCGGUAAUACGGGGGAUCCGAGCGUUAUCCGGAUUUAUUGGGUUUAAAGGGUGCGUAGGCGGCAUUAUAAGUUAGUGGUAAAAUAUUGGGGCUUCACCUCACUACGCCAUUAAUACUGUAGAGCUAGAGAACAGACGAGGUAGGCGGAAUAAGUUAAGUAGCGGUGAAAUGCAUAGAUAUAACUUAGAACACCGAUAGCGAAGGCAGCUUACCAGACUGAGUCUGACGCUGAUGCACGAGAGCAUGGGUAGCGAACAGGAUUAGAUACCCCCGUAAC